UACGGAGGGAGCUAGCGUUAUUCGGAAUUACUGGGCGUAAAGCGCACGUAGGCGGCUUUGUAAGUUAGAGGUGAAAGCCUGGAGCUCAACUCCAGAACUGCCUUUAAGACUGCAUCGCUUGAAUCCAGGAGAGGUGAGUGGAAUUCCGAGUGUAGAGGUGAAAUUCGUAGAUAUUCGGAAGAACACCAGUGGCGAAGGCGGCUCUCUGGGACGGUACUGACGCUGAGGCGGCGAAAGCGUGGGGAGCAAACAGG
rnacentral:rRNA from 1 species